GACGUAGGGCGCGAGCGUUGUCCGGAUUUAUUGGGCGUAAAGAGCUCGUAGGCGGCUUGUCGCGUCGACUGUGAAAUCCCGCGGCUCAACUGCGGGUCUGCAGUCGAUACGGGCAGGCUAGAGUUCGGUAGGGGAGACUGGAAUUCCUGGUGUAGCGGUGAAAUGCGCAGAUAUCAGGAGGAACACCGAUGGCGAAGGCAGGUCUCUGGGCAUGACCUGACGCUGAGGAGCGAAAGCAUGGGGGAGCGAACAGG
rnacentral:rRNA from 1 species